GAUUAUUAGUAAAUGGCGCCAAAAUAACGAUUUUAUUCAGUCUAAAAUUCAGACCAUUUCAGCACAUUUCAGACAAUCUAUAAUAGAUGGAAUGACGAGAAAAUUUUCGGAAAGUCAAGCCAAAUUUAAUUGUCUGGACGAUCAAACGCGACACACAGAAUUUUUAUUGUGAAAAUUCACGUCAGUGUCAAGGAUGGCUUCUUCUAAGAACCUAAGGAGAUCUGCGCGAGUAAAAACUCUUGUGAAAUACACAGAAGAUAGUGACGAGGGCACACCACAAGGCACUCCCCAAUCUAAUAUAUUAAAGGUCGAGUUAGAAAAGCAGCUUGAAGAUGUCGAAGAGGACGUACAAAAACCACUUGAAUUAUUUUCUAAUAAGGAUGUGAGUGGAAGAAAACUGUAUGGAUUUCAAACGCCAACAAAAAGGAAUAACAUGAUGAUUAAAGCCAAUCAGUGUCGUACACCUGAGACUCCCAAAAGUUUCAAGACACUUCCAGUCUUAAAAAUUGUUCUUGACAAGAUUAUGAUGAGAGAUUUUCAGGAAAAUCAAGUUUUGAACAAUGAUGACAUUGAAACUAGAGUGUCUCGAAAACGAUAUUUGCCCAGUGUAAAUUCGAGUGGUGACGAGAGCGUGUCAGAAGAUAGCGAAUAUGUACCUACAGAUAAUGAAGUCAGUUCAGAGUCUGAUGGAACUUCUGAUAAAAGUGAAAAUAGUGAAAAUUCUGACAUGAGUGAGGAAAACAAUGUUAGAAGGGGAAUUAAACAGAGAGUAUUAAAACCUUUACCAAAACGUGACGUGCAAAGUACACCUAAAAGACCAGGAAGAGGACGUAAGACUGUGGCAUACAAAGAUUAUCACAUAAAAACUGAUGAAUAUUUUGAAUCUCAAUCGGAAAAAAUAAUUACGUCUGAUCAUACAUUAGGAAGACUUCGGAACGCUCGUCUUACCAAAGAUACUUUAGGCGAAUUAUUAACAAAUCAAAGUCACAUUUCUACAAUACAUAAAAAGCGUAUUUGCUCCUUGACAGAAAAUUGUAAAUCGUUUUUUCCUAUGUGGCAAUUCAUAUUGGAAGAAGGUUACAGUUUACUACUUUACGGAAUAGGUUCGAAAAGAAAUUUAAUAAAUGAUUUUCAUAAUGAAAUCAUAACCAAUCAUCCAACAUUGAUUAUAAAUGGAUUUUUUCCCAGCUUAACGCUAAAAGAUAUUCUUGAUAAUAUAACAAGUUUGUUAGAUGUAGAUAGUCCAUCAAAUCCUAAUGAUUGUUUAGAACUUAUCGAGACAAUUAUGAGGAAUAAUCCAGAUGAUAGACUUUAUUUAAUAGUUCAUAAUAUUGAUGGAAUAAUGCUACGUUCGAAUAAAGCUCAAAAUAUGCUUGCUAGCUUAGCAACUGUUCCAAAUAUUCAUGUCAUAGCGUCUGCCGAUCAUAUAAAUGCAUCACUCCUUUGGGAUCAUAUAAAACGGGCAAAGUUCAAUUUUUACUGGUGGGAUGCGACAACAUUAUUGCCAUAUAAAGCGGAAACUUCAUACGAAAGCUCAUUAUUAGUUCAACAAAGCAGUGGACUCGUCUUGUCUUCCCUCCAGAAUGUUUUCCUGUCCCUCACGUCAAAUGCUCGAACAAUUUAUCUCAUUCUUGUAAAAUAUCAAUUGAGCAAUAGCAAUAGUAAUUUUGCAGGGAUGCCAUUCAAGGAUCUAUAUCGGUCAGCGCGUGAACAGUUCCUGGUCAGUUCCGAUUUAGCAUUAAGAGCACAACUAACUGAAUUUAUUGAUCACAAAUUACUACGGACUAAACGCACAGUUGAUGGCGCUGAACAUUUAAUAAUACCCCUUGAUAAGACUCUUCUAAAACAAUUUCUGGAGCAACAUGGGUCAUGAUUUAUUUGAUGACUUUGAGUUACAUAUUUUUAAGUCAGGGUUAGUAAAAGAGAGAAGGAUUCGGUCAGAAGGAGAUGGAGAUUAACAUUAAACCUAUCUGAUGAAUCAAAUUCUCUUAGCAACAUAUUUGUAUUGUUGCUGGCAAUCACAUCAUGUGUUAUUGGAAUGGCAGCGACUGGAUCGUGUUUAACGGCGAGGUCUGCCUGGCUGUCAAUUCUCAGUGUUAAUUAAACUUGAUUCAUCUAGUCUCUUAAGAGUGGUCUUCAUGUGCAUCUCUCGAGUGAUAUCGCCAAGGUGAAACGAACUAUGCCAACCAACUUGCGGUGAGCGACUGUGCGCCUCAGACGUCGCGGGUCAGCUCGAACCUGCACAGCAGCAGUAGUAUGGCGG
rnacentral:misc_RNA from 1 species